GAUGAACGCUGGCGGCGUGCCUAAUACAUGCAAGUCGAGCGAACGGACGAGAAGCUUGCUUCUCUGAUGUUAGCGGCGGACGGGUGAGUAACACGUGGAUAACCUACCUAUAAGACUGGGAUAACUUCGGGAAACCGGAGCUAAUACCGGAUAAUAUUUUGAACCGCAUGGUUCAAAAGUGAAAGACGGUCUUGCUGUCACUUAUAGAUGGAUCCGCGUUGCAUUAGCUAGUUGGUAAGGUAACGGCUUACCAAGGCAACGAUGCAUAGCCGACCUGAGAGGGUGAUCGCCCACACUGGAACUGAGACACGGCCCAGACUCCUACGGGAGGCAGCAGUAGGGAAUCUUCCGCAAUGGGCGAAAGCCUGACGGAGCAACGCCGCGUGGGUGAUGAAGGUCUUCGGAUCGUAAAACUCUGUUAUUAGGGAAGAACAUAUGUGUAAGUAACUGUGCACAUCUUGACGGUACCUAAUCAGAAAGCCACGGCUAACUACGUG
rnacentral:rRNA from 1 species